GUCGUCGUCCCGACUUCGCCGCCGUUCGGAUCUCGUCGCCGGCCGUCGUUCGUCGUUGUUCUUUGCACCGGUGAGUUCGCGUCGUUGUCCUCUCCGCGUUGGUGCUCUCGGAUAGCCCGGCCGAGCUCUCUAUCGCCGGCGGAGUUGUGGUCCAGUGCCAUGGCUGCGAUGACAUCAUCGUGAUGUCAUAAAGCCCUUUUCCCUUCUAAAAAUAAAUGUUAAAAUCAGUUUAAUCUUGUAAAAUUCAUAACUAAUUCAUAUGAAGUCGGAAUGAGGCCGUUCAAGUCUCUAAAUUCAUCUAAAAUCAUGAUCUACAUGUUUGUUUACUUUUUAUGUACUAUUUAUUUGGUUUUUAUUAGUCUUUUUCCUCGUUUUGCGUGUUAGCUCGUCGUUUCCGUCGUUUCAAAGGUUCGCGUGUACGUUGGAAGUGUUCAAGAAGAUUAAUUGAAGAGCGAUUAUUGCAAGGCAAGUCACACAGAUCCUAAACACAAUCCUUUGAGCAUAUUGAUCCUAUAUUUAAAUUCUCUAUUUAUUUCAACUGUGCAUUUAUUUUCGAAUGUCACCGGGUGGUGUGAACCUAUUUCUUUGUUAUGGCCAAUUUGCAUUGAUUACUUUAUUCCUUAAUACCUUGGUUAACAAAUUGAUUAGCUUGAACCUUAUAUAUUGGUUUGGUUCAGCUAAAUGCUAUAUAUAUAUAAUUGCUUAGCCAUGCUUAGAAACAUUAUCACAUAAUUGGGAUAACUAAUGUUACACUAUCACUUAUGAUUAUAUUUAAUGGUAGCUCACGAUGGUUAAUCGUGUUAUGAUAAUUAAUUGAUAACUAAAACUUGACAAUGGUGGGUUGUGAGCACAUGGUUUUGAAGGUCGUGCUCAUGACAAUUAAGGACCGGUUCGCGAGCUACUGUUGUGAAACAUUAACCGUACCAACCACAAGCCAGCAUGGGCAACGGCUUUACCUUCUUUAUAGCAUGAUUCAUUGCGGGGCACCAGACUGAGAAGCGGCGAGAAGUCCGUGGGGGUCGCUGGGGAGUCCAUGCCUCUGGUUAUAUUUAUAGAGGGGGUGAUUAUGAUCCAGGAAUGGUGCACUGUGGUGAGUUGUGUUGUGCAGGGGGUAUUGUCAUAGCCUCUAUUCGGGUACUUUCCAGUAUUGUGACGUAUGGUAGACAUGAUGUUGAGGCUGUGUCUUGUGGGUACAGUGGUACACCUCUGGCCAGAGUAAAACUAUUCGAAUAGCCGUGCCCGCGGUCAUGGGCGGGUUGAGCAAUGUUUUUCGUGAUUAGUCUCACACCUCUCACAAUAAUUAUGGAUGUUAUAACUGGUAAUAAUUUGCUUAGCUCCUGGUAUGGAGUUAGAUCUGUACAGUCGGGUAUGGUUGUUCAGGAUGGUUGGGCCUGAGCAGCAUGGGUGUGCUGUUCAGUGUUGAUUAAAAUUGAUGAUUAAUUACUCUACUGUUUUACUUCUAAAUGUUUGCUAAAUGCUGUUUUUGCAAAUGAGACUAUAUUAUGCCAUCAUUUGGUAUCCUUGUGCACUUACAUAUUUGCUGUGUGGCUUGUUGAGUAUUUCAUAUGCUCAUUCUUGCAAUAAUCAAUCAACCUCAGUUGAAGAAAAAAGAUCCAGAAGGAGAAGACGUUUGGCUUAUACCCCAGUUGAGUUGCCUGUGGGAGUGGAGCUGAAGCCAUCGCUAGACCGUUAUUCCGCUGCUGUUGUUUUUCUUUUCUUUUGUAAGUAUGUAACGUUAUUAUUAUGAUGGAUUUGUAUAUUAAAUUGUCAGUUUGUGUACCUCGGCUCAUUCCUGGACGAGGAUUUUAUGCACAAAUUAGUUCGGAAAUUAUUAGUGAAUUUCCGGGCGUGACAUCCCAUGCCCUGCUCGAGCUCGUCGGCGCGAGGAGAAACCACCACCGCUUGCCUCUCUCCUCUGUCCUGCCGCCGCCGCUCACUGUCCACACUCCCACGCCAUGCUCAAGCUCGUCGGCGCGAGGAGAAACCGCCGCUCGCCUCUCUCCUCUGUCCCGCCGCCGCCGCUUGCCGUCCACACUCCCACGCCAGAUCCAACCACAACUCGAGCUCCCGCCACUCCCUUCGCCGACGGCUGGGGCGAAACGCGGCAACGUUGGGCGCGGUGGUCGACGGCAAGCGCCUGGUCGGGAGGCCAGAUCUGGUCGGCCGUGUCGUCGCCGGGGUCCUUGUCAGCGGCCGCUCCACCACAUCGUGCCAUCGCCAACCUCUACCCAUCCCCUCCCUCUCUCUAUGCUUCGACGACGAUGCCGUCGCGGCGGCGGUGGCGGCGGCGGCGGUUGUUGUGCGCGGGUUCAUCUUGCUUUGCUCCGGCGGAGGGAGGAGUCCUCGCCGGCGCCAUCCAGGUUCGUCACCGCCGCUCGCCCAUCGUCGUCCCUGGUGAGGGGCAAGAAGGGGGAAUUGUGGAGAGGGAAAGGAAAGAAAACGUGGGGACCUCAGUGAAAAGCACAGAGAGUGCUAGAGCCGCGCGUUCCCCUCCUAGGGGUCACGCCUCCCUCUAGGAGGACGGCUCGGAGACGUUCUCGGGACGACGUGAGUGAAGACACGACUCAAGGGUACGCAUUGCUGAUGCCCUUAUUACAGCAUGAUUAAGGCCAUGCUUGUUUCAGCUUAAGAUUAUAAUAAGCCCGCAUAGGAUAAGCUGUUAGCUGUCUAUUUCUCUAGAUUAUUAGCUGUUUGUUAGUUGUUAGCCACCCAAUAAUCUAAAAAAACACCUUUAGAGUGGAUUAUCAUAUUAUAGUAAUCUGGCUUAUAGAUUGUAGUAAUAUAUCAUAAUAAGCUAUCUGUUUGUUUCAACUUACUCCUAAUAAUUCAGAUUAUAAUAAUCUUAAGCUAAAUAAAACAAUGCCUAAGUAUUUCUAUAAAUAAAAGAACUAAAAAAAUAAAAAUAGAUUAGCGUUUUUUAGAUAAUAAAAAUAGAUUAGCAUGGUUUUUGCAAAGCAACUUUUCUAUUGAAAAAUAUUUGAAAAAACGAUCCGUUUAGCAGUUAGACAAGCGUGUGCGUGGAAAAUAGGAGCAUAAGUUGGGAAAGGUUGGUGUGGAAGGAAGCCUAACCCUUUCUCCUGGCAUUUCUCUUGGCCCGGUGAAGCUUAAAAUGUCCCAAACAAUGUGAAAAUUAUGAGCUGUGCAAAAUGAACCAAGUAGUGACUAGUGAAAGCACCGUUGAGCAGGGCUUACAAAUCCGUUUCUGGAGGUGGGUGCGAACCCCCAUCGAAUUCACGAAAUUCGUUGAGUGCUAAUAAUGCUCGAUCAAACCGAUAAGAAAAAUGUACACGAAAUUUGAAUCAAGAAUGAAGUUCACUUGUUUUCCAGCAAAAAAAAAGAUGUGUUUUUUAAGCUGAAGUAUUUUUGCUCAUUUUUUAUCCAAAUUAAAAGGUUUCCAGGAAAAUUGUAUAUAAUACAUGCAAACAAUUUCAGGUACCUAUUAAUCCAAGAUAAACUCACGGAAUUGAAGGUGG
rnacentral:lncRNA from 1 species